ensembl:rRNA 5S_rRNA 5S ribosomal RNA
GUCUGCAGCCAUACCACCCUGAAUGCACCCGAUCUUGUCUGAUCUUGGAAGCUAAACAGGGUCAGGCCUGGUUAGUACUUGGAUGGAAGACAGAUCUUCAGAAGAGACUGUUCGGAGACUAAAAAUUUGGAGACA